UCGUUCAUUUUGCUGUCGGUUUUCAAAGAGUGAACUUGUUCGUUUCGCAAAACAUGGAAAAGUUACAUUUAAUUAUGGAAGUAUUUUAUAAAAUAUUACUAAAAUAUCAAUUCUGCAUGUAUUCUGCAACUUUCGCAGUUGCAAAGAAAUAAAAGGCCGCAAUGAUGGGCUAGAAAAGUGAGGAUAAAAUUACCUAUGCAAUUCUGAAAAACUGCUUAUGUCGAUGCAUGUGCUAUGUGCUCUAAUCCCCUGGUAAAAGCCCUUACCCAGCUGCUUGUAAGAUGCUUGUAAACCAGAUGGCGAAUCAGUGGUCACAAAGGACUAAGAAUUAUUCGGUUUUUGCACAGAUUUAACUGGCAGGUGUCAAUAUUAAAAGGGAGAAACAUGUUGGGUGUGUGGAUAUCUGAAAAGAAUGUUUGCCUAGUUGAACACUGAGAAGCUAUGUAUAACGGAUGGCUGGCGUAAAUUGAUAGGCAUGCGAAGACAACAAUCGUUCGGAGCUCGAAUUUAUGCUUGUCCAAUGAAGAUAGAUCGAGAUUACAUGGGAUACGAACAGCCUUGUCUGAACCAUCAUAAGCAGUCUAACGACAGUAAGGUCUACGUGACUUGAAUGACUCACGUCUCAUAUCUGGCCGGGAAUUUUUAAUCCAGCUGCAGACUACUAAAUUUGCAUCAUACCAUUUUAGUUGAAAAAUUAAAAUGAAAUGAUUUGAAAUAUGUAUUAAAUAAAAAUCAAAGUUUUAAUAAAAUUUCA